rnacentral:rRNA from 1 species
CCUACGGGAGGCAGCAGUGGGGAAUAUUGCUCAAUGGGGGAAACCCUGAAGCAGCGACGCCGCGUGAAUGAGGAAGGAUUUAGGAAUGUAAAGCCCUAUCGGCAGAGAAGAGAAUGACGGUAACUGACGAAUAAGCCCCGGCUAACUACGUGCCAGCAGCCGCGGUAAUACGGAGGGGGCAAGCGUUACUCGGAAUUACUGGGCGUAAAGGGGGCGCAGGCGGGGCGGGAAGUCAGAUGUGAAAUCCUGUAGCUGAACUAAAGGACUGCAUUUGAAACUGUCAGUCUAGAGUGCGGGAGAGGUAGGUGGAAUUCUUGGUGUAGCGGUGAAAGGCGUAGAUAUCAGGAGGAACACUGAUGGCGAAGGCGACCUACUGGAACGUUACUGACGUUGAGGCUCGAAAGCGUGGGGAGCAAACAGGAUUAGAUACCCGUGUAGUC